AUUGGGUAUUACUGAAGAAACGGCAACAUUAUCAGUUAAACCGGCAGCAAGAGGGUGACUUGUGCUUCUUCAACAUGGAGCCAGAGCAUGGAGGAGCAAUGAGCACCCGCCAGAUGACUGUGUUUUCAUUAACACCAAGCAAGACCCUCUACCGGCAAAAGAUCAUGACUCACUGAAGGCUCCAGUGAUCGUUAGCAUUUUAUAGCAAUGAAGUCUUUUAAAGUUAAGAGGCAGGGUGAUGUCGGGGAGCCCUUUGGGAUUUCCAGAGAGACUUUCCGAACAAAGCACUGCUCUGCAGGGCCUGCAAGCUGUUCUGAUGCAAAGACUCACCAGCCUUUGAUAAUUCAGGUCAG